CGGACAAAAAGGUCCAGGUGGCCAUUUUCACUUUCAAGGGAUUUCUUCAUGGCUCUCUUCAGGAAGACAUCCAGGGAUGGGUAAUGAAGGUAAAUAACUCUUUUUCUUC